GGGGAUGCCAGGCAUCGACAAAUACACACUCUUUCUCAGUGCAUGCCAAGGUCGCAUACCAACUUGUAAAAAAUAUGCACAAACUAAAUGCAAAAGCAUUUUCUGUAAAAUCACCAUACUUUAGUGUGAGUGAUCUAGCAUUCGCUCGAGCAUAGCUCGCGACACAUACCAGUACGACAUCCGAUAGUACUGGUAUGUGGAAUACAUUCGGGUUACGGAUUUAUACUGUCCGAUAUGGAUCUCGACAAUAUAGGAAUCGACAUACGGUUAUCUUGUCUCUUUCUUACCCGUGUGUUUAAAAUUCGAAAAAGACUACGCAUGUAGAAACGGUUUAGGAAUGUAUUUGCACGGCGGUUCAACUCCGCCCAUCUCCACUA
rnacentral:tmRNA from 1 species